UCUUUAUCCCGCCCCACACAGACAGACCUCGCCGCACCCGCCCUUGACGCCAUCUUCCUUUGAGGACUGCCGCUCCACGCCGCCUGCUUAUCUGAGGCGACGGGCCGAGGGGCGCCACUACCUGUCUUGGCCUCACGUGUUGGGAAGAGUUAGCCCCAUACCUGCUGUUUUGAAAGUGCUGAAGAGGGAGAGACUGACCCUACACCUGCUUGUCAGCCCGCAGGUCACCCUGCUAUCUGUGCCUUUGUCACCCAUUGGGUCAAACACAGCAUGGCCGAGUCCAUCUAUCACAGGGUCCUGAUGUCUUCCCAUCACCUUUGACCAGCCAAGGACCUGCACACUCCUGGCCAGAAGGGGUGAGGCUGUUGUCCUUCACUGGGAGGUCUUAGCAGUGGAAGCCAUCAUGGAAGUUAUAGAGGAUGAGAGGAUCAGAAUGAUGGUUGGUGCAGCACACAUCACAACUGUAAGGUCCUAGUGAGCACAUCCUCGCACACCAUUCACACACUGUUCAUGUCACCAGUAAGGGACUCAAGAGGAUUAAUUCUUACAGCUAUGGCAACUACUUUGUGCAUGUCACUGGAGGGAUGUAUCAUUUUCAAAGCCCCCUGUUGUUUUCCCUAUAGUCCUUGAGGCUCCAUAUUUUCUUUACCUUGUGGAUAUAUCAUUUGCAAAGCCCACUAUGUUUUUUUUUUUUUUUUUUAUACCUUCCUCCUCUUCACCCCUCCUUUCCUCCCUCUCUUUCCACUACACCCAACAUUACUUUCAGACACACCCCUCCAGCCCUUCAUCUGUCCAGCAUAGGGUACAGCAUUACUCAUGCCACAACACCACAUACAGAAACUGGAGUAUGACUUAGAUUACUCUUGGUAACAAACAAACACACAACUGCUAUUAGAAACUCAUAUUGCCUGCCAGAGAACAAUACAAAUAUGGUAUUCAGUAACUGACAUUAUUAAGCAUAAAAAUACAAAAAUAUUCACAAUAAUACAACCCUACCCUGAAGGAAUGAAAGAAAUAAUAAUUUGUUAUUACUAAAUAUUAAGUUUUAUACCAGUCAUUAAAUAGGAAUUCAUCUAUUCUAUUUAAUUACUUGGUGUAAACAUAAAACUAAAUGGUCCUUCCAUUAUUGUAUAACUAAAUUCUGUUGCAUGUUCCCAGUUGUUGGAGAAGCUUAGCUGUUUUAUAGAUUUUGUUUUAAACAAUAA